CUUUGACAUUGACACUGAUGUGGCGCUUAUGCUACCGGUUCAUCGUAAACCUUUGACGUUUCAGAGUCUAUAUUGUCCUGAUUUGUUGCUGGUUGUGUUUCUGCAUGCCUAUCACCGUUGGUACUGUUAGUAGGCAUUUUGGUGAAAAAAUUGUCUAAAGUUUGCCCUUUCGGCUGGUCACGCUUUGAACUGCUCAUGUUUACGCUGCUUUUUUACUUUGAGUACCAGAAAAAAAAUUCUCACAAAUAAAUUAAAAAGUAUUUCGGUCAGGGUUGAUAUAUACGGAAAUAUUAUUGUGAC
rnacentral:lncRNA from 1 species